CCAUUCUGUGCUAUUUUCUUUUCACAUUGUCCUUUCAAACAUGGUUCCAGCAACUAUGGUAGAUGCGAAACCACUGCACCUCAGUAGUGUGAAACAGGUGCCCUUCUUCGCGAAGCAUUGGAGACCUCCCUGGUCUUUGUGGUUGAAUCUGUGUUUGAAAUUCCCUGAACGACUAAGGGACCUUACAGAUAAUUGUAUGUGUGGGGUACAAAGAUGAAGUCAUCAGGCUGCUGAAUAUCCCUCACACCUGUCACAGUUGUCUCGCGCACCUGCGCCUCAUGACACUCACCUGGACUCCAUCACCUCCUUGAUUAUCUUAUCUUCCCUGUUAUCGGCUCUGUUUUCAUGUCGGUGCGUUGUUUGU